AACACUGUUAACCUGCGGUACCUGCGGAAGGAUCAUUACCGAGUUUACAACUCCCAAACCCCUGUGAACAUACCUAUACGUUGCCUCGGCGGAUCAGCCCGCGCCCUGUAAAAAGGGACGGCCCGCCCGAGGACCCUAAACUCUGUUUUUAGUGGAACUUCUGAGUAAAACAAACAAAUAAAUCAAAACUUUCAGCAAUGGAUCU
rnacentral:misc_RNA from 1 species